rfam:Gossypium raimondii Chr08_contig_208, whole genome shotgun sequence.
UUUCAUCAAUUUAUACUGUUAAAAAUUGGCGUAAUUGACGGAAUAAUCAGACAGUGAUAUGAGCGUGAUACGUCUACCUUAUGCUAACAUACAUGAACCAGUUUUUAAUAAUAGAAAUAGAUAAAA